rnacentral:rRNA from 1 species
GGAGCCGAAGCGAAAGCGAGUCUUAAUAGGGCGGUAAGUUGAAUGCUGUAGACCCGAAACCCGGCGAGCUAGCCAUGAGCAGGUUGAAGUUUGAGUAAAAUCAAAUGGAGGACCGAACUAGGGCCUGUUGAAAAAGGCUUGGAUGACUUGUGGCUAGGGGUGAAAUUCCAAUCGAGCUGGGAUAUAGCUGGUUCUCCCCGAAAUAACUUUAGGGCUAGCGUUAAACAAGAGUUUUAUGAAGGUAGAGCACUGAAUAGUAGAUGGUCCCACCUCGGGAUACUGACAUUAAUCAAACUCCGAAUGUCAUAAAACGCGUUUAGCAGUCAGACUGCGAGUGAUAAGGUCCGUGGUCAAAAGGAAAAGAGUCCAGACCGCCAAAUAAGGUCCCAAAAUAUAUGCUAAGUGGAGAAGGAUGUAGAGAUGCCUAAACAACUAGGAUGUUGGCUUAGAAGCAGCCAUCAUUUAAAGAGUGCGUAAUAGCUCACUAGUCGAGUGACUCCGCGCCGAAAAUGUACCGGGGCUAAGCAUAUUACCGAAUUUGCGGAUUCGAUACGAAAGUAUUGAGUGGUAGGGGAGCGUUCCAUAUUGGGAAGAAGCAAGAUCGAGAGGACUUGUGGACUAUAUGGAAGUGAGAAUGCCGGUGUGAGUAACGAAAAGACAGGUGAGAAUCCUGUCCGUCAAAAACCCAAGGUUUCCAGGGGAAGGGUCGUCCGCCCUGGGUAAGUCUGGGCCUAAGGUGAGGCCGAGAGGCGUAGCUGAUGGAUAUCUGGUGUAUAUUCCAGAACUAGUAUAAUGACUGAUGGAGUGACGAAGAAGGCUAGGAUCCGAUUCUUAGUGGAUUGAAUACGAGAUAUCAAGAGGGGAUGUAGGCAAAUCCGCAUCUAGAAAUCAAGAUAUGACAGGUAAAGGAUAACGAAGUCAAGCUUCCAAGAAAAGCUUCUAGGGUUAAUCAUUAUACUACCAGUACCGUAAACCGACACAGGUGGGUAGGAAGAGAAUUCUAAGACGCGCGAGAAAACCCUUGUUAAGGAACUCUGCAAGUUGGCCCCGUAAGUUCGCAAUAAGGGGAGCUCAUGUAAAAGUGAGCCACAGAAAAGAAGCCCAAGCAACUGUUUAACAAAAACACAGGUUUAUGCAAAACCGUAAGGUGAAGUAUAUGAGCUGACACCUGCCCGGUGCUGGAAGGUUAAAAGGAGAGGUUAGAGCAAUCGAAGCCUUGAAUUGAAGCCCCAGUAAACGGCGGCCGUAACUAUAACGGUCCUAAGGUAGCGAAAUUCCUUGUCAGGUAAGUUCUGACCCGCACGAAAGGUGUAAUGUCUUUGGGCACUGUCUCAACAGGGGACUCGGUGAAAUCAAACUGCCGGUGAAAAUGCCGGCUACCCGCAAUUAGACGGAAAGACCCCAUGGAGCUUUACUGUAGGUUGAUAUUGAUAUUUGGUAUGUAAUGUACAGGAUAGGUGGGAGACUAUGAAGCUAGGACGUUAGUCUUGGUGGAGUCGACGUUGGGAUACCACCCUUUGCCUAUCGAGUAUCUAACUAGUGUAAGUGGAUUACAAAGGACAGUGUCAGUUGGGCAGUUUGACUGGGGCGGUCGCCUCCUAAAGAGUAACGGAGGCGCUCAAAGGUUCCCUCAGAAUGGUUGGAAAUCAUUCGCAGAGUGUAAACGCAGAAGGGAGCUUGACUGCAAGACAAACAAGUCGAGCAGGGACGAAAGUCGGAGUUAGUGAUCUUACGGUACCGCGUGGAAGGGCCGUGA